UACGGUGGGGGCAAGCGUUGUUCGGAAUUACUGGGCGUAAAGGGCGCGUAGGCGGUUGGAUAAGUCAGCUGUGAAAACCACGGGCUUAACUCGUGGCCUGCAGUUGAGACUGUCUGGCUUGAGUGUGGGAGAGGAGAGUGGAAUUCCUGGUGUAGCGGUGAAAUGCGUAGAUAUCAGGAGGAACACCGGUGGCGAAGGCGGCUCUCUGGACCACAACUGACGCUGAGGCGCGAAAGCGUGGGUAGCAAACAGG
rnacentral:rRNA from 1 species